AUGGGCAGGUUGAAGGUUGGGUAACACUAACUGGAGGACCGAACCGACUAAUGUUGAAAAAUUAGCGGAUGACUUGUGGCUGGGGGUGAAAGGCCAAUCAAACCGGGAGAUAGCUGGUUCUCCCCGAAAGCUAUUUAGGUAGCGCCUCGUGAAUUCAUCUCCGGGGGUAGAGCACUGUUUCGGCAAGGGGGUCAUCCCGACUUACCAACCCGAUGCAAACUGCGAAUACCGGAGAAUGUUAUCACGGGAGACACACGGCGGGUGCUAACGUCCGUCGUGAAGAGGGAAACAACCCAGACCGCCAGCUAAGGUCCCAAAGUCAUGGUUAAGUGGGAAACGAUGUGGGAAGGCCCAGACAGCCAGGAUGUUGGCUUAGAAGCAGCCAUCAUUUAAAGAAAGCGUAAUAGCUCACUGGUCGAGUCGGCCUGCGCGGAAGAUGUAACGGGGCUAAACCAUG
rnacentral:rRNA from 1 species